UACAGAGGGUGCGAGCGUUAAUCGGAAUUACUGGGCGUAAAGCGAACGUAGGUGGUUUUGCAAGUCGAGUGUGAAAGCCCCGGGCUCAACCUGGGAACUGCAUUCGAGACUGCAUUACUCGAGUAUUGGAGAGGGCAGUGGAAUUUCCGGUGUAGCGGUGAAAUGCGUAGAUAUCGGAAGGAACAUCAGUGGCGAAAGCGACUGCCUGGCCAAAUACUGACACUCAAGUUCGAAAGCGUGGGGAGCAAACAGG
rnacentral:rRNA from 1 species